GCUCUCUCAGAGAUCCAGGUCCGGGAGAUGACAGUGGCUCCCAGAAAGCCCAGGAUUCAAUCGCUGAGAGAGUGCUUAGGCCCGAAUGCCGGCCCAAAUCGUUCUACUCACCGUGUCGGAGGCCGAGGCCGAGGCCGAGAGCGAUGAGAGUGCAGGGAAGUGGGGAAGAGGGGGUGGCCGCCAGGCUCCUCCGCUUCCCUGGGUCCACGGCGGAUCCCUCCCGCUUGUCAGGAGGCGGCCAGCGGUAGCAGGACCGCUGCUGUGGAGCUGGUCGCAGGCGGUGUGUGCCGGUCGCCUAGUCAGGAGAACUAGUCCUCGACUCACGGUGAGGGAAUGGACCGACACGGGUAUUGUACCGCUGAGGGAAAGGAGCGGGACUCCGGACCUCCAGGAGGUAGGGAGUGAGGCCAGUAGGACCGGCGCGCCUCCGGGGGGAUUCCUCCCGGGCGUUGAGUUGCCAACCUGGGACCCGAGGAAGAUCGGCGUGGUGGUGUGCUUUUUGUUGUUGUUAACCCUCCUCGGAUUUCUCGAAUUUCACACCACUGUCCAUAUGCGAUGAUGUUUGUUUGCCCUUGACGCACUUACUCAUGGAUGGUACUUCUUCAGCCUCGUUAGACAGCCUGGUGAUGGAGGAUGAAGAAACCAUGUGCUUUUCAUUCAGUUCUGGACUUAGUCUCCCUUUUCUUCCUUCAGCAAGUUAUUUUUGUUAGUUCCUUAUCAAAAAGUGUACAUAAAAAUUAGGCAACUCCAAACAUGCCUCCAGGGUUAAUGUGUGAAAUAAUAAGAUAAUAUAUGUAAAGUGGAAUUAGCUCCUAGGCAUAGGGAAAGUGCAGAAUAUUGCCGUGUUGUCAUUUACAGUUCUGUUGAUGUCGAUAACGUUUGUGGGUGUAAUUGGUAGUGUUCUGUCCCUCCAAGGAGUUAAUAAAACAAAGCAAACAUAAAAAAAAAAAAAAAAAAAAAAAA
rnacentral:lncRNA from 1 species